GAGGGUAUAGCUCAGUGGUAGAGUGUGUGCUUAGCAUGCACAAGGUCCAGGUUCAAUUUUCCAGUACUCCA
rnacentral:tRNA from 1 species